AGACCCGAGGAGCGUUGCGACGAAGAACAUUCGCCAGGCUCGGGCUAUUCAGCAACCGCGCUCACGUUAC
rnacentral:ncRNA from 2 species